AACGUAGGACGCAAGCGUUAUCCGGAAUUACUUGGCGUAAAGCGCGCGCAGGCGGGUUGUUAAGUCAGUCGUGAAAGCUCCCGGCUAAACUGGGAGAGGUCGAAUGAUACUGGCAAUCUGGAGUGAGACAGAGGCGAGUGGAAUUCCGCGUGUAGUGGUGAAAUGCGUAGAGAUGCGGAGGAACACCAGAGGCGAAGGCGGCUCGCUGGGUCUUAACUGACGCUGAGGCGCGAAAGCAUGGGGAGCGAACGGG
rnacentral:rRNA from 1 species